rnacentral:rRNA from 1 species
CCUACGGGAGGCUGCAGUGGGGAAUAUUGCGCAAUGGGCGAAAGCCUGACGCAGCGACGCCGCGUGAGGGAUGAAGGUCUUCGGAUCGUAAACCUCUGUCAGCAGGGAAGAACGGUCACUGUGCUAAUCAGCAGUGAAUUGACGGUACCUGCAAAGGAAGCACCGGCUAACUCCGUGCCAGCAGCCGCGGUAAUACGGAGGGUGCGAGCGUUAAUCGGAAUUACUGGGCGGAACGCGCUCGUAGGCGGUAUGUCAAGUCAAGGGUGAAAUCCCCGCGCUCAACGUGGGCACUGCCUUUGAAACUGGCAAACUGGAGUGUGUGAGAGGAUAGUGGAAUGCCAGGUGUAGGGGUGAAAUGCGUAGAUAUCUGGAGGAACAUCAGUGGCGAAGGCGACUAUCUGGCACAUAACUGACGCUGAGGAGCGAAAGCGUGGGUAGCAAACAGGAUUAGAUACCCCAGUAGUC